rnacentral:rRNA from 1 species
CCUACGGGUGGCAGCAGUAGGGAAUCUUUCACAAUGGGCGAAAGCCUGAUGGAGCAACGCCGCGUGAAGGAUGAAGGCCUUCGGGUUGUAAACUGCUUUUAUAAGCGAGAAAUAUGAUGGUAACUUAUGAAUAAGGAUCGGCUAACUACGUGCCAGCAGCCGCGGUCAUACGUAGGAUCCGAGCAUUAUCCGGGGUGACUGGGUGUAAAGAGUUGCGUAGGUGGCAUAAUAAGUAGCUAGUGAAAUCUGGUGGCUCAACCAUUCAGACGAUUAGCUAAACUGUUAAGCUCGAGACCGUUAGGGGUAACUGGAAUUUCUAGUGUAGGAGUGAAAUCCGUAGAUAUUAGAAGGAACACCAAUAGCGUAGGCAGGUUGCUGGGACGGUUCUGACACUAAGGCACGAAAGCGUAGGGAGCAAACGGGAUUAGAUACCCUAGUAGUC